rnacentral:rRNA from 1 species
UAGUCCACGCCGUAAACGAUGAGCACUAGUUGUAAGGUAGGUUACUAUUUUGCAAUACAGCUAACGCAUUAAGUGCUCCGCCUGGGGAGUACGGCCGCAAGGCUACAACUCAAAGGAAUUGACGGGGGCCCGCACAAGCGGUGGAUCAUGUGGUUUAAUUCGAAGCAACGCGAAGAACCUUACCUAGGUUUGAAAUCCCGAGAAUCCCUUUGAAAGGAGGGAGUGCCCUUCGGGGAAUUCGGUGACAGGUGCUGCAUGGCUGUCGUCAGCUCGUGUUGUGAAAUGUUGGGUUAAGUCUCGCAACGAGCGGAACCCCUAUUUUUAGUUGCCAGCAUUAAGUUGGGCACUCUAGAAAGACCGCCGGGGUUAACCCGGAGGAAGGUGGGGAUGACGUCAAGUCCUCAUGGCCCUUAUGCCUAGGGCGACACACGUGAUACAAUGGACAGUACAAAGGGAUGCGACCCGCGAGGGAUGGCCAAUCUCAAAAAACUGUUACUCAGUCCGGAUUGGAGUCUGCAAUUCGACUCCA